rnacentral:sRNA from 1 species
GUCAAUGCUUGUAAUUUCAGACAUUUGAGUUUGAGUUGGUAGGAGAUGGAAUUAAAGCGUCUGAUGAGUUACUGAUUACUAUCAAGGAUUGGGAGAGAGUUGGAAGAAACAGACAACUCGGGACAGCCAAAUUGCUUUUAAAAGAAUUCACAAAAGGUGGAGCCCAAGAACUCACUCUGAAUCUUUUGGAUGCCAACAGCAGAGCACUUCCAGGCUCUUCUGUUAAGAUACAAAUAGUUUGUAAACAACCACAAGUUGCUGGUGGAACAGAUGCUACUGGAGGUAAGCUU